rnacentral:rRNA from 1 species
GACAGAGGCCCCGAGCGUUAGGCGGAAUCACCGGGCUUAAAGCGUGUGUAGGCGGAUCGUUAAGUGUCUUGUGAAAUCCCACGGCUCACCCGUGGAACUGCUGGGCAUACUGGCGAUCUUGGGCCGUUCAGGGGCGACUGGAACAAGCGGUGGAGCGGUGAAAUGCGUAGAUAUCGCUUGGAACGCCGAAGGUGAAAACAGGUCGCUGGGGACGCGCCGACGCUGAGACACGAAAGCCAGGGGAGCAAACGGG